GAAUGAGUUCCAGAGCCUAUGCCUCCUCUAGAUCCAAUGCCUCCUCCAGAUCCAAUGUCGCCUCCAGAUCCAACGUUGCUUCCAGAUCCAACGUUGCCUCCAGAUCCAACGUCGCCUCCAGAUCCCAUCCGGGCUCCAGAUCAACAUUCGCAGCCAGAAGGGAAACGAGCAGACAGCAGAGAACAUUUUGGUAUCAUUUACAAGAGUUGAUUUCGCCGGACAUUUAUAUAUAUCUUGCAUUAAUGAUGUCCCUGGCACUAUUUUUUGCUGCAGCUGGGAUGACUGCUUUGUAUCAUCACGAAGCAAACAAAACAGCCAUCCUAAAUAGUGCAGCUGAACGUAUUAAGACAUUUACAAUCGCAAAGGAGCCAUCAGUGAAAGGCAAAAACGAUACAGAAAUACUUGCAAAAACUCAGAAGUUAGCCGAUGAGUUGGCUGUAUGGACCUUAAAGACCAUUCAACUGGAAGCUGCAAUUGAGGACAUUUCUAGAAAGCUUCAUCUAGGCUGGGUGCUACACAAGGAGACCUUGUAUUUAUUUGAUGAACUGCUAAAGACAUGGGAAGAAUCGAGACAGUUUUGUGAGGAGGGACACGCCACGUUGGUUUGUAUUAAUAGUAGAGAAGAGGAGGUCUUCCUAGAAAAUGAAAUCCGUACCUCACACGAGGACUUCUGGAUUGGCCUGAUUUUUAAGGGGGACUGGACAUGGGUUGAUGGCUCAAAGUAUGAACACAAGUGAGUUAAGUUUGUCAACAAAACCUCCCUGUGUUUUGUACUGUAGAAAGUAAUUCAUUCUUCUGUUUAGUGAAAUAUCGUCUUCUUUGCAUCUGUUUAGAACUUAGUACCAGAGUUGAUUUCCUUGGUAUUACAGCACCCAUAAUAAUAUUUUUAAUAUCCAAAAAAGGUUGGUAGAAGAACACCAAACAAUAUGUUGGUGUUCAUUAAAAUUUAUGUAAAGUUGAGGUGUCAAACCCUGCCUAAAUAUGCAAGGUCAUUGCACGUCGUGAUGAAGGUAUAAAUAUCUUUGUUAAAAAGGGCUGCUUUAAACAGUGUCGGCGGAAAAGGACAUCCCUCUUUCAGUAUGUCUGUGGCAUUCUGCGUAGAAUGCCAGGAAACAGGUAACAAGACGUCCUCUAUUAAUUCCAGGGAAUGUUAAAAAGUUACUAUAGAGCAAUUUUUUUAAAAGAGAGAAAAGAAUCCUAUUGUCCCAAAGUAAACUUUUAAACAGUUUUUCAGUUCCCAAAUUGCUGUGCUUCACAAAAUGCAUAAUCUCAAAGGAUUUGAAGAGCUUGAGCCAGGAAUAGAAAGAUUGAUGAAGGUGACAAUACAGAAGCAUGUUCACUGCCUUCCAAGGUCUAGAAAUUGCUCUCAUUGGCAACUGACAAAGAGAGGUGAAGGCACAAUUGGUUACAGUUGUGUUGUUGGUUUGGAGAAUGUCUCUGUUCGUUUCCCUAGAUCUUUGGAGAUUAUUCAUCUUACCAAAUGUUAUAUCUCUUUCAAAGGUUACCCUGCGACAACAGGUUUUUUUUAAAAAAAAUCUUUUGAAUUUGCUCUUUAAAAAUCUUUUUAAACUCUCUGAUGUUAGUUGAUUUCUCAGUAGCCACCUCCUGACAGUUUGGUUUCUCCGCUUUGAAAGCCUUGGUUACAUGGACAAGGGGAAUUGUGCCCUGUUCAUGCUACACUGGUCCAUUUAACCAAGGAUGCUGUAUAAUCGGGGUUGGGGUUAGGGUGCUUGUCGCGUGCUUCUAUUCUGAACUUGUUUUUAGAUAUGGCAGCCAUUGGAGGAGAGAAUCUAAGUAGUGGACUGUAUCAAACAAGGUGGGAAGUAACAAUACCAUUUUCCUGAAUUAAAAGGCCUCCUAAAUAUAUGAUUUGCUCCUUAAAAAGCUGCUGUUAUAAAUAAUAAAACAUUUCUUCUCUGUUCGGUAGCA
rnacentral:lncRNA from 1 species